rnacentral:rRNA from 1 species
AUUGAACGCUGGCGGCAUGCCUAACACAUGCAAGUCGAACGAGUGGCGGACGGGUGAGUCAUGUCUUGUCACCUGCCUGAUGUACGGGUCUAACUCCUGUAAACGGUGGCUAAUACCGCUUACCUUCAGCUCUGCCCACAUGGGCGUAGCUUGUUGGUGGGGUAACGGCUCACCAAGGCGACGAUCCGUACCUGGUCUGAGAGGAUGACCAGCCACACUGGAACUGAGAAACGGCCCAGACUCCUACGGGAGGCAGCAGGGGGGAAUAUUGCACAAUGGGCGCAAGCCUGAUGCAGCCAUGCCGCGUGUAUGAAGAAGGCCUUAGGGUUGUAAAGUACUUUCAGCGGGGAGGCGUUACCCGCAGAAGAAGCACCGGCUAACUCCGUGCCAGCAGCCGCGGUAAGAC